rnacentral:rRNA from 1 species
GAUGAACGCUGGCGGCGUGCCUAAUACAUGCAAGUCGAGCGAACAGACGAGGAGCUUGCUCCUCUGGCGUUAGCGGCGGACGGGUGAGUAACACGUGGAUAACCUACCUAUAAGACUGGGAUAACUUUGGGAAACCGGAGCUAAUACCGGAUAAUAUAUUGAACCGCAUGGUUCAAUAGUGAAAGACGGUUUUGCUGUCACUUAUAGAUGGAUCCGCGCCGCAUUAGCUAGUUGGUAAGGUAACGGCUUACCAAGGCGACGAUGCGUAGCCGACCUGAGAGGGUGAUCGGCCACACUGGAACUGAGACACGGUCCAGACUCCUACGGGAGGCAGCAGUAGGGAAUCUUCCGCAAUGGGCGAAAGCCUGACGGAGCAACGCCGCGUGAGUGAUGAAGGUCUUCGGAUCGUAAAACUCUGUUAUUAGGGAAGAACAAAUGUGUAAGUAACUAUGCACGUCUUGACGGUACCUAAUCAGAAAGCCACGGCUAACUACGUG